rnacentral:tRNA from 1 species
AAGAAAGAAGCAUAGAUGGGUAGAUGCGGCUGGCUUGAAACCAGUGUACGGGGGUUCGAUUCCUUCCUUUCUUG